GGAGGGCUCGCCUAGUGGCCGAUGGCGGUAGUCUUGAAAACUACUAGGGGCAGUGAUGUCUCUCGAGGGUUCGAAUCCCUCGCCCUCCG
rnacentral:tRNA from 1 species